GUGGGCGCCGCCAUCUUGUGCGGGGCACGCUGCGCAGCGGCGGGGAGGAGCCGGGGGCGGGCCCGGCGCGGAGGGGAGCGGUGUAACUGCCCGCCCCAGCCGUGCGGCGUGACUGAGGUGUCGGCAGCCCUCGUGGAAGCGUUGUGUCUCCCACGAUGAUGAAGAAAAUGGGCACAGAAAUAACGAUGCGUUGGCUGAUCCUUCAUUUUUCCCCCAGCCUGUCAUCCCCGAGUGCCAGGAUUUCAGAUGUCUUCAGUCUAAAGUCUUGUACACUACUUGUCUUGUAAAUCGGGUCUUCAGUUUUGAGUAAUUCAUUUGGCAGAACUUAGAUCAGGUGGCUGAAUUAGUAGGAUUGCAACGUUAUUAGUUUAAAACGCACACUAGAAUUUGUGAAGCUUCUAAAUCAGAGCCUGCUGAAAACACUGUUUUGGUUUAAGCUUAGGAAGUGUGAGAUAGAGGAGCGGAUGGUGAGGUGUGUUGAGGUCUGGCUGACUGGCAGAGCUCAGAGUUGGCAUCGGUGGUGCAGUCUGGUUGGAAGCCUGUAACUAGCUGUGUUCCUCAGGCAUCGGUGCUGGGUCCAGUCUUGUUCAGUAUCCCUUCAUCAAUGACCUCAAUGAAGGGAUGGAGUCCACCCUCAGCAAGUUUGCUAAUGAUACAAACCUGGGAGGAGUGGCUGACAUACCAGAAUGCUGUGCUGUUGUUCAGGAAGCCCCAGACAGAAUGGAGACUUGAGAAGAAAGGAACCUUAUGAGGUUCAACAAGAGCAGCCGUAGAGUCCUAUGCCUGAGGAGCAAUAACUGCAUGCAUAAAUGCUGAUUAGGGGCUGGCCUGCUGGAAAAAGCUCUGCAGAGAAGGACCUGGGUGUCCUGGUCGACAACAGGUUAGCCAUGAGUCCGCAAUGUGGCCUUGUGGCCCAGAAGGCCAAUGGUAUCCUGGGGUGCAUUAAAAAGAGCAUGGCCAGCAGGUCAAGGGAGGUAAUCCCUCUACUCUGCCCUGGUGAGGUCACAUCUGGUGUACUGUGUCCAGUUCUGGACUCCUCCAUUAAAAAAAGAUAGUGAUAAUCUAGAGAGAGCCCAGUGGAAGGCCACAAAGAUGAUUCAGGGCCUGGAGCAUCUCCCUUAUGAAGAUAGGCUGAGAGCCGUGGGACUGUUCAUCCUGGAGAAGAGAUGGCUGAGGGGGGAUCUUAUCAAUGUUUAUAAAUAUCCAGUGGGUGGGGGUCAAGUGGAUGGGGCCAGGCUCUUUUCAGUGGUGUGUGGUGACAAGAACAAGAGGCAAUGGGCAAAAACAGAAACACGGGAAGUUCCAUGUGAACAGGAGGAAAUACUUCUUUACUUUGAGGGUGACAGCACUGGAAUUGCCCAGAGAGACUGUGGAGUCUCCUUCUCUGGAGAUAUUCAAGAUCCACCUGGACACUUUGCUGCAUAACCUACUGUAGGGAACCUGCUUUAUGUAGGACUUGAUGAUCUCCAGAGGUUUCUUCCAACCACAACAGUUCAGCAUCCUUGAAUGUAUUCUACUUGCCUGUUAACUUCCUUGUUCUUUCCCAUUGCAUUCUUGAAAUAAAUCAGUGCUGUUGGUAGCACAAAGAGAGCAGCUUGCACAAGCCACAUGGCACUUAAAGGAACUUUGACACCAAUAAAAACAACGUGCUUGUUUUUUCUAGCACUUUCCAGAACUGUUCACUCCUCCUUUUACUUCAUGCUUCAUUUUAGGAAAGUAAUGUGGAUGACACUGAAGAAACAUUGCGAAUCCUGGUUAAUAUGGCUCGAUGUUUUAAAAGUGUGCUGUUGUAGUAGGAAGUCGGUAGUAGUUAAAUGGUGUGAACAGCAAGACUGGGUAUAAACAAUUAUAUUCACCCUUUUGAUUAUUUCGUCCAUUGUGGUCCUUUUCAACCCAGACCAUUCUAUGAUAUUACACAGCUUUUACAACAAGCCCUUCCAGUUUGGACAAUCCUGCUAUGUAUAUUGACCACAUAGAUAAGCAGUGUCAGACUGUGUAUUUCAGAAGUGAACUAACAUCCUAAAAUAGGAGAUAUUUAGAUUGUCCAAUCCCCUCUGAGUUAACACAGCCCGGAAAAGACGUUUAUUGAAGGCUUGAACAGUUCAAUAUAACAAUUCAGAUAAAAAUCUAUCAUCUUUUUAAUGCAAUAUUUUAAGUCAGGAGGGGAGCAUUCUUGUGUGUAGCAGCUCUGAUCACCUCCGAAUUACUAAACUGAUCUCCGCAUGGCACACACAUAUUGACAGUGGUUCCAGGGUGGUUCUAAGGGGGAAACAAAGAGUUUAUAGAACUCUGAAGCAUGGGAGAGAAGGAAGAUGUUUUUAAGCAUUCAUUUUUCUGUUCAAAAGUCACUGCCUUGAAGAUUUCUUGCUAACAGAACUGCGGGUAAGUGAAAUAUGGAAUUGCUCCAUUCUAUCACACUGGGGAGAAACAAGAUGGAAAAGAGAGCAGAUUUGGUGGAAAACAGUACAAAACAAAAAAAGGUGGACUGCAUACCUGGACGCAAGCACGUAAUGCUUGUGCUAGCUAUGUAAGAAAAAGUGCUGUGAAGUACUUUAUGUCACUAGGUUGAUAGUUGUAUACUUAUUUUUACUUUUUUUUACGCAAAUAACUAAUCAGCAUCCUUCAUGAUACAUUUCCUAUUUCAAGUCUUUCCUGUGAAUUUCUUCUUGCCUUAAAUGGAGAUAUACAAAUCCUUGGAGAGGAUGGGCUUGAGUCUUCUCCUCCUGCACUGGCUGUAUGUUAUUCUAAGUUAUGCCACUUAAAUUUAGUAUAUUUUCACUAAUCGUAGUAUUUGGUUUUCCUAAUUUUGUUCCUUACAUAGCAAGCAAGUGAAAUUUUCCUGAAAGUAGUGAGACUGAUGUUAGGCAGUACAGAUAGCUGAUACACAAUCUUCUGGCAUAUCUGUCAGUAUGUCUGUCUUAAUUUUACUAAUACUAAUUUUAUGACAUUAGCGCCUUUUUUCCAAGACUAUUUGAUUAACUUCUAUUUAUAUUGUUUCUUUCCUCAGGUUCUUUCGUUCCUCUCCUGAAGAAAGAAGAGAUGUGCAUCUUAGCUCUACAAAUGGAAAAUUCACUAAGUGAAUCACAAAAAGUUAAUAAGCUGAACACUUGUCCUCCCACCCUCUGAGCCUCUGUUUCCCUUCUAUUCACCAAAGAUUGUGUUUUGUUGAUCCCAGCUCCUUCAAGGAGGUGACAGGUGGUGCAGGAGGUUGGUGCCUUGUGUUUAUUGCGUCUCCGUGCUUCUUCUAGUUUCCCUCUGCUCUUCCGUGCUUCCUACUGGCCCUGUCCUGGCAUGGGUUGUCUGUGGACUGCAGUCUCUCAGGGGUGAUCCUGUCCUGUGUGGGUCUGUUGUGGCCACAGUCACACAGUUGGGAUUUUAAAUAAUUGUAUACAUGUAUUCUAAUAUCUCUUAUUAUAAAUUAAAGCUUUUUGAGGUUUGGAAGCUCCAUAAAUGUCUGCUUCCUGCUGUGAGUAUCCUUUGAAUAGUGUUUAUGUUUGUUUGAAGCUGCACCUUGUUACUUCUUUCUCCUGUUUUUCUAUUCCAUAGUAGACCAACUGUCAGGGUAUUAAUCUCCCUAUUUUUUUAGCACUUAACAAACUUAGGGGCUUUCCAGAGAUCUACUUCUUACCCCUUUCUGGACUCCAGUCAAAAUAUUUGAAUUGCUGAUGUAGAAUACAGCAACUGAAUUAGGUGCUGCAGGCACAUCUGAACUAUGACUGAAAAUCCACAGGAUUCUAGAUUGAUACCUAUCCCUUUCCAACAAAUGCCAUCUUUUUUCUAUGGGAUCCUUUGGCUGAUGAUAUCUGCUCCCCAGAAGUGAUGUUACUUUAAGUAUAUAUAAUCUCGAUGGAUUCAUCUUCAGUGAAUGGUUAUACACCCAUGUGUGUAUGUGUUGCUUAUUUGUAUAUGUGUAUGCAAUGUCUCAAAACUGGAAUUGUCAUUUGUGAAGUGAGCAAGCCAAAAAGGAUUAUUGCAGUGGACUGCUCAACAGAGGAACUUCAUGCUGUGCCAAAAGUGCCAUUAAAGUUUCCUGCCUUCAAAGGCUGUGAAGUAUACAUGUCCCCAAUGCCUUUCAGUGUUUGUGCAGCAUUGUUGUUUCAAGGUUGCCCUGGGCUACAGUGGAUAUCGAAAAGGGGAAGCAAAUAGUUUGUUUUCCAAGAAGGCAGAGGUUGAUUUAGACCAGCGUGCAGUUGUGUGUGCAGAAGCUAAUGCAAUUAUUGUGAGUCUUGAGAGAGACCUGAGUAAUGCUGAACUUCAUCACCACAUGAAACCCUUACAGUGACUGUAUGAAACUGAUCGACUCAAAGGAGAUGGCAAAAGUCAUUUUGCUAAAGCGAAAUGGAAAUAAAUACAAAUGAAAGAGGACCACCCUGUCUUCCUGCCUCCCGGAUCAGGCUCUGCUCUCUUGUCCACUACCACAGGCUCAGUGUUACCCACAGCAGUUCUUCCCUCUUUGUGAAGAUGUGCUCUGCUAAAGGUGUUCAGUAGACAUUUACAUCAAGAACAGGAAUCUGGUGACCACAUAAGCAAGUGAUGAGAUAGAAUGUUCAAUGGACAACUGUGCCAGCUUUCAUGAGAGAUCGGCAGCAGUUGCUGCUUUUGGUUCCUUGUAGCUCUCCAUUCCAGGCCUCUGCUCACAGCUGCCUCAGAAAAACCCUCUGCUCCCCUCUUUCUCCAGCUCAGAAGUUGAGAUAUUUGGAGCCGUGUGCCCUCGGUGAAGGAUUGCUUCAGCUCAAACCAAGGGCAGGGGCUGGGAACAGAAAGUACUUCAUCCCCGAAAGCAGUUGAUCAAAAAUGAAUGUACUGUCAAAAAAAGCUGACAAGAAUAAGGCAUGAUUGUGAAGUGAAGGAUAUUCUUCUCUGGGCAAACAGGCUGAUACUGCCAAGGAUACAUUUGACAGCAGCAGUGUGGGAGCUCACACCCAGCAAGCAAGGAAAAUUACACAGGCAAGGAUGGGAAGGUGAUGCGUGAACUCAAUGCCGUGUGAGGACACCUCAGUAGUCACUGCUGCUACAGGUCGUCAACAAAGAACAGCCCCUUUUCAAAGUGAUAGAUCUACUGAAAUCAGGCAAGACUACUUGAAAUAAAUAACUAAACAAAGCAACAACAGAUUUUCAGGUUAAUAUAGGGUUCUACAGCUGUGAACUUUUUAAUGAAAUGAUUUGAUCAAUAGUGUUGUUACUGCCUCUGGCUCCACAGGGGUAAGUAACUACUGCCAAGAGUAGGUAUUGUUUUGUUUCUAAUUGUUAGACAGCUCUAAAGCACUGAGUUGCUACAAAUAUUCCCAUUGCCCUAAAGAGUAGUUCUGGUAGUAUCUUUGGCCCUUUUAAUUUUUAUUGAAUACAGCCCUGUACAUUCAUUACUUAUGUGUGUGGAGUCCCAGGAGACAUUCCACCUGGUGCCAAAAUUGCCUUUUGAAUAAGACUUUUCAGAAUAUUAAAAUGUGACUGCAACAACAACAAACUGCAAUUUCAAUACUUUGCUGAGGAAGUGGCAUGGAUUGUCACUGGAGAGUAACCUGAGGUGGAUAUUUUAGGGCAGAAUGGAGCAUUUGAGAUGCAAAAGGUGACGUUAAUUCCGCUGCUGCUCUUCCAGAUUAUGCCGGAGCAGCCUGGUUGCUUUGAAUGGGUUCAUAAAGGUUUUACUGAUGCCAAGAGCCUUUCAUUGAUCUGACAGGAGACCAGUUUCACUGUUCCUCUGUUAAGAAGCAAACUGGCUAACAUACAUAUGAUAAAAGCAAGAGCUUGAAAGUAGCAUAGUUUUAGGUUAUUGGGAAUUCUAGGUGACAGAUAUCCUGUGCUGCAAGUAAAUAAUGAACGAAAACAGUUUGAAAUGAAGGCUGGAGGCAAUUUGAAGUCAACCCAGCUGUACUUGGAAAAAGGAGUGACGGAGCCUCAAAAGGAAAGAAACAAGCUGUUUUAUUGGCUGGCUGACUCACACUGGUCAUUUUUUGUUUGAUUUUGACUAUGGUAGUAUAUGUUUGCCAAACCUUUCCCUGGCUGUACCUUUUUGUUUGAAUGUAACUAACACGGGGGCUUACAGAUGGGACAGAGAACAAGGAGAAUAAAACUGUGGGUUUAAAGUAA